CAGGUUUACCUGUGUGACUGCGUACCUUUUGUAUAAUGGGUCAGCGACUUAUAUUCUGUAGCAAGGUUAACCGAAUAGGGGAGCCGGAGGGAAACCGAGUCUUAAUUGGGCGUUAAGUUGCAGGGUAUAGACCCGAAACCCGGUGAUCUAGCCAUGGGCAGGUUGAAGGUUGGGUAACACUAACUGGAGGACCGAACCGACUAAUGUUGAAAAAUUAGCGGAUGACCUGUGGCUGGGGGUGAAAGGCCAAUCAAACCGGGAGAUAGCUGGUUCUCCCCGAAAGCUAUUUAGGUAGCGCCUCGUGAAUUCAUCUCCGGGGGUAGAGCACUGUUUCGGCUAGGGGGCCAUCCCGGCUUACCAACCCGAUGCAAACUGCGAAUACCGGAGAAUGUUAUCACGGGAGACACACGGCGGGUGCUAACGUCCGUCGUGAAGAGGGAAACAACCCAGACCGCCAGCUAAGGUCCCAAAGUCAUGGUUAAGUGGGAAACGAUGUGGGAAGGCCCAGACAGCCAGGAUGUUGGCUUAGAAGCAGCCAUCAUUUAAAGAAAGCGUAAUAGCUCACUGGUCGAGUCGGCCUGCGCGGAAGAUGUAACGGGGCUAAACCAUGCACCGAAGCUGCGGCAGCGACGUUUAUGCGUUGUUGGGUAGGGGAGCGUUCUGUAAGCCUG
rnacentral:rRNA from 1 species